UCCCUGGAACGGGACGCCACAGAGGGUGAGAGCCCCGUCUGGUCGGACACCGAGCCCGUGUGAAGCUCCUUCGAAGAGUCGAGUAGUUUGGGAAUGCUGCUCAAAAUGGGAGGUAUAUGUCUUCUAAAGCUAAAUAUUGGCCAGAGACCGAUAGCGCACAAGUAGAGUGAUCGAAAGAUGAAAAGCACUUUGAAAAGAGGGUUAAAAAGUACGUGAAAUUGUUGAAAGGGAAGCGCCCAUGACCAGACUUGGGCCCGGUGAAUCACCCGGCGUUCUCGCCGGUGCACUUUGCCGGGCACAGGCCAGCAUCAGUUUGGCGCGGGGGACAAAGGCUUCGGGAACGUGGCUCCCUCGGGAGUGUUAUAGCCCGCUGCGUAAUACCCUGCGCCGGACUGAGGUACGCGCAUCGCAAGGAUGCUGGCGUAAUGGUCAUCAGCGACCCGUCUUGAAACACGGACCAAGGAGUCGUCUUCGUAUGCGAGUGUUCGGGUGUCAAACCCCUACGCGGAAUGAAAGUGAACGCAGGUGAGAGCUUCGGCGCAUCAUCGACCGAUCCUGAUGUUCUCGGAUGGAUUUGAGUAAGAGCAUACGGGGCCGGACCCGAAAGAAGGUGAACUAUGCCUGUAUAGGGUGAAGCCAGAGGAAACUCUGGUGGAAGCUCGCAGCGGUUCUGACGUGCGAAUCGAUCGUCAAAUAUGGGCAUGGGGGCGAAAGACUAAUCGAACCUUCUAGUAGCUGGUUUC
rnacentral:rRNA from 1 species